rnacentral:rRNA from 1 species
AACGUAGGUUCCGAGCGUUAUCCGGAUUUACUGGGCGUAAAGCGCGUUCAGGCGGUUUGGCAAGUCGGGCAUGAAAUCUCUCGGCUCAACCGGGAGAGGUUGUCCGAUACUUCCAGACUUGAGGGCAGUAGAGGGUGGUGGAAUUCCGGGUGUAGUGGUGAAAUGCGCAGAUAUCGGGAAGAACACCCGUGGCGAAGGCGGCUCUCUGGGACGGUACUGACGCUGAGACGCGAAAGCGUGGGGAGCGAACAGG